AUUGAACGCUGGCGGCAUGCCUUACACAUGCAAGUCGAACGGCAGCACGGGUGCUUGCACCUGGUGGCGAGUGGCGAACGGGUGAGUAAUACAUCGGAACGUACCUUAUCGUGGGGGAUAACGCAGCGAAAGUUGCGCUAAUACCGCAUACGCCCUGAGGGGGAAAGCGGGGGACCGUAGGGCCUCGCGCGAUUAGAGCGGCCGAUGUCUGAUUAGCUUGUUGGUGAGGUAAAAGCUAACCAAGGCGAUGAUCAGUAGCUGGUCUGAGAUGACGAUCAGCCACACUGGGACUGAGACACGGCCCAGACUCCUACGGGAGGCAGCAGUGGGGAAUUUUGGACAAUGGGGGCAACCCUGAUCCAGCAAUGCCGCGUGAGUGAAGAAGGCCUUCGGGUUGUAAAGCUCUUUUGUCAGGGAAGAAACAGCAGCUCUAACACAGUCUGCGAAUGACGGUACCUGAAGAAUAAGCACCGGCUAACUACGUGCCAGCCGCCGCGGUAA
rnacentral:rRNA from 1 species